GACGUAGGGUGCAAGCGUUGUCCGGAAUUAUUGGGCGUAAAGAGCUCGUAGGCGGCCUGUCGCGUCGACUGUGAAAACCCAGGGCUCAACCCUGGGCCUGCAGUCGAUACGGGCAGACUAGAGUGCGGUAGGGGAGACUGGAAUUCCUGGUGUAGCGGUGAAAUGCGCAGAUAUCAGGAGGAACACCGGUGGCGAAGGCGGCUUUCUGGACAGAAACUGACGCUGAUGCGCGAAAGCUAGGGGAGCAAACAGG
rnacentral:rRNA from 1 species